rnacentral:rRNA from 1 species
UGGGGAAUCUUGCACAAUGGGGGAAACCCUGAUGCAGCGACGCCGCGUGAGCGAUGAAGCCCUUCGGGGUGUAAAGCUCUUUCGGCAGGAACGAUAAUGACGGUACCUGCAGAAGAAGCUGCGGCUAACUACGUGCCAGCAGCCGCGGUAAUACGUAGGCAGCAAGCGUUGUUCGGAAUUACUGGGCGUAAAGAGUGUGUAGGUGGUGUCGUAAGUUUGGUGUGAAAUCUCCCGGCUUAACUGGGAGGGUGCGCCGAAGACUGCGAUGCUGGAGUAUGGGAGAGGAAAGCGGAAUUCCUGGUGUAGCGGUGAAAUGCGUAGAUAUCAGGAGGAACACCUGCGGUGUAGACGGCUUUCUGGACCAUUACUGACACUGAGACACGAAAGCGUGGGUAGCAAACAGGAUUAGAUACCCCGGUAGUCCCUGAGCGGGCUGGCAAGGCGCAU